CCCAGACUCCUACGGGAGGCAGCAGUGAGGAAUAUUGGUCAAUGGGCGGAAGCCUGAACCAGCCAAGUCGCGUGAGGGAAUAAGGCCCUACGGGUCGUAAACCUCUUUUGCCGGGGAGCAAGGGCGGGGACGUGUCCCGGCCCGGAGAGUGCCCGGAGAAAAAGCAUCGGCUAACUCCGUGCCAGCAGCCGCGGUAAUACGGAGGAUGCGAGCGUUAUCCGGAUUUAUUGGGUUUAAAGGGUGCGUAGGUGGUUAAUUAAGUCAGCGGUGAAAGUUUGUGGCUCAACCAUAAAAUUGCCGUUGAAACUGGUUGACUUGAGUAUAUUUGAGGUAGGCGGAAUGCGUGGUGUAGCGGUGAAAUGCAUAGAUAUCGCGCAGAACUCCGAUUGCGAAGGCAGCAUGCCGGCUCCACACUGACGCUGAGGCACGAAAGCGUGGGUAUCGAACAGGAUUAGAUACCCCUGUA
rnacentral:rRNA from 1 species